rnacentral:lncRNA from 1 species
AUUGAACCUAGUCAUGGUUGACCAAGCUCUCACCACCCAUUUUCCAUCCCUACCUCCCUCUUGCUCCCAUUUUCUUUCUUUUUAUUUCUUUUCUUAUCCAUUUUGCAAAAUAACAACCACCCUUUCUUUUAAAUUUUGUUCCUUUCCUCUAUUACGAACGAACCCUUCACCACCGACCACCGCACCUCGUACCCACCGCAGCUUCUCUC